CGAGCAAGGAACCACGCGAGCGCGCUCUCCUGCCCCAAAGCUAUUGUUUCCAUUCCUGGCGGCCUCAAUGGAAAUUCCACCCCCCCACCCCUCCUUUCUGUUACCCGGGCUGGGCCGGGCUAUUUAUACAGCUUGGCGCUGCCGUCACGGAGAGCCGUUUCGCUGACGAGGGAUUGACGCUCUUGGCUGCCGGAGCCGCGCUUGCGGUUACAAAGGGCGCUUUUGUGUGAAAAGCGACUCCGGGGGUUUGGAAGAAACGGCGGGGAAGGAAGGGGGGAAGACCGUCGCCCUUUGGCCGCCCCGUUUGCAACCCCGAAAUCUUCCUCCGAAGAGGCUGCCCGCGGCGGACAGUCGUCGUCCCCCCCCCCCCCCCCCCCCCCCCCCCCACUUCCCGGAGGUGUUAGCCCGCUUUGCCUCUGAAGCGAAAAUGUUGCACCCUGGAAUGGAGAGAGUUUUAGCCACCGGUUUGGAAGAGAAAGAAAGAGAAAGAAAGAAAAGAGGGCGAGGGAAGCGGGCAUUUGGCAGAAGAAAAAAAAACGGGCUUCUGGCGGAGCCCCAGGGCAAAGAAAAAAAGGUGACCCUUAUGUUUUAAGAACAGAAAAUUGAAGAGCUUUUCCUCAAAACAAUCCAGAAGAUUAACAUUAUUUUUAAUCUCCCAAGUUAAUUUGUUCUGAAAUACGCUUUGCUGAGAUACUGUUAGGUUACAAGAGUGGUUCUCAACCUACAAUGGCAUGUGGGGCUAAAAUUGUUCUUCGCAACCAGAAUUCCAGAUGCUGUCAGUGUGGAUGUUUUUCUUUUGCAGGAAUUCCACAAAAUGUCGAAUUGCUCUUCCUUUAUCAUUCCAGGUCUAGAGAGAGAAUCUCUUACACUGAAUUCUCUGUACAAGUAUUUAGGUAUCCAAAGGCAUGAUUUUGUUACAUCUACAAAACUGUUUGCAUUCAUUUAACGUAGACUUCUUUUUGAGGCCUGGAGCCAUGGAUGUUUGUUCUCUCUCUUCUUUUUUUCACAUCAUUACUCUGAUACUGCUUGAUUAGCUCCCUCCCCAGUCAUGAUUGGUAAUUAAAAUAGGCA
rnacentral:lncRNA from 1 species